rnacentral:rRNA from 1 species
GCCCCAACAGCUAGCCCAACUUCAAAAUUCAACGAUAUACAUAAAUACCCCCAAACGACAACAAAACAACCAACAAACCAUUUUUCCCCCCGAGUAUCUGAGACAGAAAAGGGCAAUAGGCGCUAUAGAGAAAGUACCGCAAGGGAAAGCUGAAAGAGAACUGAAACAAAUCAGUAAAGGAAGAAGAAGCAGAGCUUUAGCCUCGUACCUUUUGCAUCAUGAAUUAGCCAGUACAGUUAAGCGAAGAGCACUUUAUGUUUAAAACCCCGAAACUGGACGAGCUACUCCGAGACAGCCUUUUAGGGCGAACCCGUCUCUGUGGCAAAAGAGUGGGAAGAGCUCCGAGUAGAGGUGACAGACCUACCGAGCCCAGUUAUAGCUGGUUGCCUGAGAACUGAAUAGAAGUUCAGCCUUUUUACUUUUUUAGCCAAGAGAGGCCCCUGCCUUACCUCCAGGUCAAGAGAAAGAAAAAGAGUUAUUCAAGGGAGGGACAGCUCUCUUGAACAAAGAUACAACUUUGGUAGCAGGUUAAAGAUCAAAAGAAAUAAGGCAACAUACCCAAGUGGGCCUAAAAGCAGCCACCUUAGAAAAAAGCGUUAAAGCUCAAGUACAUCAAAGCCCCGAAGAUCCCGACAACAUAAUCUUUAGCCCCUAAACAUAUCAGGCCCUCCCAUGCAAACAUGGGAAGGAAACUGCUAACAUGAGUAAUAAGAGAGUCAGCCUCUCUCGUACGCACCUGUGUACAUCAGAACGAACCCCCACUGAAAAUUAACGCCCCCAAGACCAGAGGGAACUGAGCUAAAGCCAAAGUAAACCAAGAAGUACACUCAAGAUCAAGCGUUAACCCCACACAGGAGUGCCCUACGAAAGACCAAAAGAAAAAGAAGGAACUCGGCAAGCACCAGCCUCGCCUGUUUACCAAAAACAUCGCCUCUUGCCCCACCCCCUAUAAGAGGUCCCGCCUGCCCUGUGACUUUAAAGUUUAACGGCCGCGGUAUUUUGACCGUGCGAAGGUAGCGUAAUCACUUGUCUUUUAAAUGGAGACCAGUAUGAAUGGCAUAACGAGGGCUGAACUGUCUCCUUUUUCCGGUCAAUGAAAUUGAUCUGCUCGUGCAGAAGCGAGCAUGCGCACAUAAGACGAGAAGACCCUAUGGAGCUUUAGACACCAGGACAGCCCACGUCAAAAACCCUCCCAGAAGAGAAAUAAACAAAAUGGCCCCUGCUCUCAUGUCUUCGGUUGGGGCGACCGCGGGGAAACAAAAAACCCCCAUGUGGAACGAGGCAUCCCCUUUAAAGCCAGAGCCGCAGCUCUAACAAACAGAAAAUCUGACCAACAAGACCCGGCAAAGCCGAUCAACGGACCCAGUUACCCUAGGGAUAACAGCGCAAUCCCCUUCUAGAGCCCAUAUCGACAAGGGGGUUUACGACCUCGAUGUUGGAUCAGGACUUCCUAAUGGUGCAGCCGCUAUUAAGGGUUC